UCUACCCCUCCUAUAUUCUCUCUCCUCCAAUGACGUCAUGCCCUAAUUGCCUCCCCGAUCUGACACAUAAAUCACACAAAACGCUAUAGGUGAGAGCGAUCUAUCGGCCUCCACUUUCAUCGCCACCAUCCUCCAUUGGCCCGUCCGUCCUCUCCUCCAGAUCAUCCUCGAUGUUCUCUCCAUGUGUCGUUCGCACGCCGCAGCCGACCAUCUGGUGCCGCCUUCUGUUCAAUCAUCCGUAUCAGGCUCCUCCGCUGCUCAAGUCGCAACUUAUGUUUGUACGUCGCCGCCUGCCAGCUGGUGCUGCCACAAUCUCUAUCUUGACGACGUCUCAAUGGCUGCUCUUAUUGGUACACUUCCUAUACGUCGCCUCCUGCCAGCUGGUUCAGCCUACAUCUCUAUCUUGAUGAUGCCUCCACGGCUCCUCUUAUUGGUACACUUCCUAACAACAGGAGCGUGUUUUCAUUUGCUUUUGGCAAACACCAACAGUGUGAUCUAUGAGAGAAGGGCCGGUUUAUGUUGACGAUGGAGGAUGGGGCUUGGACGUGGCUAUGAGAGAAGGCAUAAAAAGCAUUGUGAUCAGAAGGAUUAGUAACAAUAAGGUGGAGGUCGCUGGCCAAUGCUAGCGUUCUACUUUUAAGUGUAUUAGCUCAUAAUUUAUUGGCUUCCCCUGAUUUGAUCAAAAGGAAUUUUGUCCAGUUUGUAAGGUAAUUACUGCAGUUAUUUGUUGGAUGAAUAUGUACGUGGAUAUGUAAUUUGUUCGAGAACUGCUACUCUAAGGUUGUGUCUUCUCCCCGAUCAGCACAUCUCUGAUGAUUCCUGCAAACAAGAAAAUCUUCGUCAUAGCCAUAGAUGAACGCCUGAAUCAGCAUAUAGCUGCCUGAUGUUACUGGACUAACGCAUCAAUGGUGGUCUUGGUGCACCGUACAUCAUGUUGUGUCUUCUCCCCGACCAGCACAUCUCUGACGAUUCCUACAAACAAGAAAAUCUUCAUCAUAGCCAAAGAUGAACGCCUGAAUCAGUGUAUAGCUGCCUGAUGUUACUGGACUAACGCAUCAAUGGUGGUCUUGGUGCACCGUACAUCAUGUAUGCAGCCCUUUUCUAAGUUCAAUUGCUGUCCACUCAAUUGCCUUUUUUCCUGUAUGUUUGCAGUUUCCAUAAUGAGAUCUCACAUGUCCUUUUGAUCUAAAUGAAUU